rnacentral:rRNA from 1 species
CAGUAGCCGCGGGAAUACAGAGGGUGCAAGCGUUAAUCGGAAUUACUGGGCGUAAAGCGCGCGUAGGUGGUUUGUUAAGUUGGAUGUGAAAUCCCCGGGCUCAACCUGGGAACUGCAUCCAAAACUGGCAUGCUAGAGUAUGGUAGAGGGUGGUGGAAUUUCCUGUGUAGCGGUGAAAUGCGUAGAUAUAGGAAGGAACACCAGUGGCGAAGGCGACCACCUGGACUGAUACUGACACUGAGGUGCGAAAGCGUGGGGAGCAAACAGGAUUAGAUACCCCAGUAGUCCCUGUCUCUUAUAC